rnacentral:rRNA from 1 species
UACGGAGGGGGCUAGCGUUGUUCGGAAUUACUGGGCGUAAAGCGCACGUAGGCGGCUUUGUAAGUUAGAGGUGAAAGCCCAGAGCUCAACUCUGGAACUGCCUUUAAGACUGCAUCGCUUGAAUCAUGGAGAGGUCAGUGGAAUUCCGAGUGUAGAGGUGAAAUUCGUAGAUAUUAGGAAGAACACCAGUGGCGAAGGCGGCUCACUGGCCCGGUACUGACGCUGAGGCGCGAAAGCGUGGGGAGCAAACAGG